AUCUAUGGCCAUACCACCCUGAACAGCCUGAUCUCUUCUGAUCUCUGGAGCUAAGCAGGGUAGAGCCCAGCUAGUACUUGGAUGGGAGAAGGGACCUGACUCCACCACUGGCUGAGGAAGGUCAGGGGGAUU
ensembl:rRNA 5S_rRNA 5S ribosomal RNA